rnacentral:tRNA from 1 species
AAUAAAGUGUCUGAUUAGGUGUUAAAUUGUAAUUUUAAUUAUGAGAACUAAUAUUUCUCCUUUAUUU